GCUGCCUACAGCAGACGUAUACUAAAAUGGAAACAUACAGAGAAGAUUUGCCCAGCCCCUGUGCAAGGAUACCAUGCAGAUUUUUGCCGCAUUCCUGAUGUUU
ensembl:snRNA U6 U6 spliceosomal RNA